CCCGUCCCCGCUGCACUCCGUCCUCCAUUACUCCUUUUCUCGGCCCGCGCGGCCCCUAACCUGCUCGAACCCGUUGUGCUGUAGAGGCGGCCGGGUCCCUUUAAGGCCCCGCUGCGCCUGCGCCUUAGGAUCUCCUGACGCGGCCGAGCGGGACCCUGAGGAGCCAGCGGGCCGCAGGCAAGGUGCUGGGCGGCGGUUGAGACAGCGGCGGUGCUGGGAGGGGUAGGUGAGGAUCGCGAGGUUGCCUGAGCUCUGAGUGAGCCUGGUGAUUUUGGGAACGCGGGAGGGGCGACCUGCGGCGCCAGGAGCGGGACCGAGGCACGGCGGCACGGCUGCCGCCUGGAUGGGAAGUUAAAGUUUACUGCGAAGUCCACCUAGCGUUGCAGAGGUGAGGACACCGCGCCAGGCCGGGCAGGAGGCAAUCUGAAGGCAAAUCCUGUUUAGACCCAGGCAAAUGUUCCUGGUGACCCAGGCUCUCACGAGCAGAUUGUCCCUUACCGUCCUCCUGAGGGUGUCUGGAGCUUCAGUGCUGUGUGCUCUUGGCUUCCACACUGGGGGUGCCACCAACUCCCACUGUCCAGGGCUUCCAGUGGACUCUCCGAGGCACUGAUGUAGAAACUUCCUCAUUCGGUGCACCAAGAGCAGCCUCACAUGGUGUGGGCUGAAUGAAGAGCUGCCAGAUCCCACAGAUGGAGUUAUGGCUCUGUUCCUUGGGCUCGAAUGCAAUGGCACGAUCUCAGCUCACUGCAGCCUCCACCUCCUGGGUUCAAGUGAUUCUCCUCCCUCGGCCUUCUGAAUAGCUGGGAUUACAGCCCUUGAGGAUAAAUAUGGUCAAACAAAAUAAUAUCGUACCUGGAGAAACUCAGAUCUUGCUAAGAUUUACUGCUUGGGAAUCCAAUGUUAAUGCCAAGAAGCAGCCACCAGUUGGGAUCAAAUGUGAGCCUGUGGAUCAAGGUGCGUACUCGAACACAGAGAGCUUUUUGAAAGAUGCUACCAGUAGUUUUUCCAGAGCAGAGAUGGGUCCUUUAUUUUUCUCUCUAAUCUAGCCCAUAUGCUUAGCUGAGAAGGUUUCUUCAUAUCACUUUGAAUGAUGAUUUCCCUUGUUCAACAAUUUUCUAAACAUUCUUUAGAUAAGAAUUUUAUGGGCAUUCUUUAUUGCAUUAGGCUUAAAUUUAAUGCAUCUUAAGGUUUUAUUGCAAAGUGUUGCCUUGUUUCCUUUUUAAGAUGUUACAAUUUAUAACAUGCAAGUUUGCUGUCUGUCCCCUCCCUUUAUGUGCAUAGAAAAUGAGCAAACAUGUGGCCAUGAAAUGGAUGGUCAUAGAAUUGGUUCAGUGGUUGUGAGUGCAGCAACCCCAGAGAGUCUUGUCUGAAAUACCACCAGGAAUGCCUGGACACAGUAGACAAAGGUUUUUCAACUGGACGCCUUAGGAUACAUGCUUCCAAAAACAAAGUAGCCGAAAAGAAACCAGAAUCACAGAAUAUCAGGGCCAGAGGAACAUUUGGAGGUAAGUCAGUACCUCCUCCUUUUCAACCUACAGGGGAGAUAGUGGAACAGAAGCAGGGAUGGGCCUGCCUGCUGUGCCCACAAUUCACUGGAGAUUGUUGUGGUGAAGAAUUUCAUUUAUGAUGAAGGAGAAAUAAACCCCCAUCAGCUUAAAUUCAGGCAGGUUUAUUGAAAAGGUGAAGAAGCAUCUUGCAGAAGCAAAGCAUGGCUGAGGCUUGUGGGCUCUGGGAAAAUGAGCAGCCGACAGUGGCUGAUGCUGCCCUCGCCUCUGGGGCUGUGUGGUCUGUUGUUCCCUGUGAGCAUCUCUUAUAUUCUCUUGCAUCUUCCCUCAGCCUGACAGUCUCUGUAUACUCUUCAACACAUAAUUGAGCGAGGCUGUACCAGCCCCAAUGCCACAUAGCACUUUAGGUCAAAUUAGAAAGGCGUGAAAUAAACUGGCCCGUUAUAAUACAGCUGUUGGAACAACAGUGGAAAAUAACAAUAUCUUGACUCCUGGUUGAAUGCUUUAUGCUGAGCUUUCUUUUCUGAAUACGAGCACAGACAUUGGGAUAUUAGUGUCACCUAGUGUUAUUAGCUAGUAUUCUCCUUUUGUUUCCCCAUAACAUCCCCUCCUCCUUCCCACAGAUCCACUCUCCACUCAUUUCCAUCCUGUCUUAUGCCACUCAGGGCUUGUCCCUUCUAAAAUGCAUCCCUGGCUCCCCUGCAUGCACACUUCUAGUUAGGUUUAGCAAUGGGGGCACCUGAAGGAGCCUGGAAGUGAGAGGAAGGUGAGAUCCGUAUUUCUUCCCUCUCCUUCCCUGCUCUGGCACUGAGUAUCUGGCAAUAGCUGCAUCUGUCUAUUACUUCAGUGGCCACUCUUCCACAGCCCCAAUUCUCAGUGGAUCCCAUAGCAUUAUUUACCUUUGUUCCUUUAGCUCCCAUCAAGGAAGAUCCAGAGACAUUCUCCUCACCAAGGCGUUAAGAAAUGCACAGGUGAGGGGAACAGUGGCACACGUGUAAAGGUCCUGUGGCACCUCUUCUCUGCAGACUGGAGGUCAUGGCGGGAGAUGCUGCAUGGAUUUGCCCUCCCUGCUGUCAGUGAGAACAAUAGGGUUCUGGAAGAGUAGAGGACAGGCCAUGGGACUCGGCAGUCUAGAAACAAGGUGGGAGGGAUUUCCUUGAGAGGCAGGGACAUGUGGUGGUUACUAAUCAUUGUGAGGUGUCUGGGAAUGUAAUGGAUGGGAAAUCUACUAAGAAAUCAACUUAUGUAAUAAUUAGAAAAGCUCUAGUUCUGAGGAAGGAGACCUGAUGGAGUCACCAUAGUGGGAAUUUAUGACCUGGCAUCCAGUUCAGAUACCUGGAGCUUCUUGACUGAGGGGAGAUUGGAUCCCUUGAGGAAGAGUGAAGCCUUCAAUGCUGCCACAAGUGUAUGCUGUAAAUCUUCCUCCAGGCCUUCCCCAGAAGGACCUGAAACCAUUUAUGUGGGUGAACGAGGAAUGGGAAAUAAUCAGAGCUUCUGUGGCUUUUUGGAUUCUGGCUCUGAAGAAUGCUAACCUAAGGGCACCUGUGGUGGCCAUGAAAAUGCACUGCUUGCAUCUCCAGCUGCAGGAGGCCUAUCGAAUCAACAGCCCCAGCUGCUACACUCUGAAUCGAGGGCUUGAUGACAUUUCCCCCAGAUCAGUACUAGCCCAUGAGGAGGAAAGCUUCAUAUCAAGUCCUACCAACGGAACAUCAUGAGGAUGUCGAAGCUGUUUUCCUGUGGCAACUGUGACUUUCUUUCUACAAAGUCUGUUUUGUUCAUGCACAUUAGCUGUGAUUUAUAUAAAAUAAGAGAAUAAAUGCCUACACUCC